UGGAUCAGUAAUGAGAAGAUGACUCACGGC
rnacentral:piRNA from 1 species